AAUUAUUUUUGUGUUUUAUCAAUAUAUGUGAUACGAAACCACUGUGUCUGUUCUGGAGGAUGAAAUUAAACAAUGGCCGAAAGACCCAGGCCAUCUCAUCAACGCCUUUACCCUUUCGUUUUUUUUUUUUAUUUCAUUCUCUUCACAAUCACGAACACAAGCUAUCAACCUCUUCUUCUUCUUCUUCUCUCUCUUUGAUCGGAUUGCAUAGCAGAGCUGAUCGAUGGGGUUCCUGGCGAUGAAGACGGACCAGAUCAAGGGUGUUGCCUAUCACACCCUCAUGCUUGGCAGCGACCUCAGAAUCCUCGCCUCUCUUGCCGCCAUAUAUUUGUUAAUCUUGGACAAGACUCACUGGAGGACUAAAAUGACGACUUCUCUUUUAGUUCCAUACAUAUUCUUGAGCCUCCCAUCAGAACUGUUUUAUGUAUUAAGAGGGGAUAUUGGGAAAUGGAUCGCCCUCAUUGCUGUUGUCCUUCGACUUUUCUUUCCUCGCCAUUUUCCAGACUGGCUGGAGAUGCCCGGGUCAUUGAUUCUUCUUCUUGUUGUUGCGCCUGGAUUCUUCGCAGAUACACUAAGACAUGAUGUUGUCGGUGUAUUUAUUUGUUUGGUAAUUGGCUGCUACUUGCUCCAAGAGCACAUCAAAGCAUCAGGCUGCUUCAGGAACUCCCUUACAACAAGGCAUGGCAUAUCAAACACCAUUGGUAUCAUACUUCUCUUGGUUUACCCAGUCUGGUGCAUGUUGACGGAUUACCUCUAGGUUCUUCAUGCUUACUGUUUUUUCAGGUUGCCAAUUGAAUGCAUAUCAGCAAUUCAGCAUGUCUAGGUUCAAAUUAUUAAAAUUUUUUUUUUUAUUCGACAAGUGAAAUCCUUUUGUCUUCUUCAAUGUUCCUGAGCCUUCAGAUAUUGGAAAGAAACCUUCAUUUUAUUAAAUUAAUCUGAAUGAAAUGCGCACGGGACACUUUGUAAUAUAUGUUAUACAAAUCUUAUAAUAGCACAUACUCUGGAAUGAACAAUUCUCCUUAAUAAAAACUAAUGGGUCUUGUGCUAUACAGACACUGGAAAUUAAAUAUUAACUGAACAUUUGCAUGAUUUUGCAAACAUCAAUGAUCCAAAAACCGGGAAAAAAAAGAAAGAAAACAAGGAGUCAGUCAUCAUGAAUAACUGUAAUUGGUAAAAUCCCAAAGCGAAACUUUUAGGAAAUCGAUGAGCUAUCACACGUGCAAGUUGUGGCUCGUGCGACUAAAAGGGUAAUUUCGUAAAUACACAUGAGGUGCAUCGAGAACCCUAAACACAAGCGUGCACUCCUUCAUCUCUGCCUAUAAUUUACUCUGGGAAGGCGCCGCUUGCCAUCUCUAUUGAUGAGUCUAUUUGUUUAGCAUGUUCGUUCUUGGUCUUAUAUUAUUUCUCUCUUUGACAAGAAAUUUUCAUAAAAUACCUUCAUUACCUUGCAAGCAGUGUGCAGCCUUAAUUACUAUGGUGAGAUUGCUGCACAAGAUUGACGGGAAUAAUUUUGAUAAGGAGGCAUGCUGAACUCUAAAACUCGCACUAUACUUUGUUGCGCACUUGUACAAGCAACAAGGAAAACAUAAAGCACAGCAGAAUGAUCUACUCCUGUGUUUAUGCAAAUCAUUUGUUAUCUUUGUCAAAAAAAAAAAAAAUAAUUGAUGUUUAGUAAUCAGGAAUUCUCUCUGUUGUCUAACAGAGUAAUUUGAUUGUGUUCUUUUUCUAAAUAUAUCAUGAAAGUAAAUAGUU